CUCAUUGAAAAAACAAAAUAUAUUUUCCUACGUUCAAUCCUCACGUUGACACUAUUCCAGCGUUUCAGAGCCCCUAAAACUGAGAAAUUUUGAAAUACUGAUGCCCCCGUUUUGGUUUGAAAACUCCCUCUUGCUUUGU